rnacentral:tRNA from 1 species
AGCGGAAGUAGCUCAGUGGUAGAGCUUCGGCUUCCCAAGCCGAGAGUCGCGGGUUCGAAUCCCGUUUUCCGCUU